rnacentral:lncRNA from 1 species
AAGAUAAAUGAAUGUUCCAAGAUUGAGUACAUGAUGUUACAGUUCUGCGUGCAAGUAUCUGGGUGAUUCAAGGUAAUAAAAUCAUGGAAUUGGAAUUUUCAUCAACAAAAAAUUUCAAAGAUCACUACAUCUUACUCUCAACCCUUUUAAGGUUCAUGUUCUUGGAUAUAAAAUCUUAGUUCUUGAAAAAGGUAGUUUCCAAACCGCAUGCUACAUCUGUUUUGGUUGGUUCAAAAGGAUUGUUUCGUUCUGCAACUGAAGAAACUUUGGUAUGUUUAAGAGCCAGGAACUAGAAAAUAAAAAAGAGAUCAGUUAAGCCUCAUAUGGGCUGCUCUAAGUUGCUGAAAUAAAUUCGACGUCAUUUUUUUCUCAAAAAGAUCCUUUACCACGUAGUCUCAUACAUUACAUCCUUCUGUAACCUGUAGAGCCAUACCAAUAAAUGCACACUCCAUUAGCUCCUCAAGGAAUGUGGCAUCAAACAACAAACCCUUAAGCAGGAACAGAUGUCAAAAAAAGAAGGGU